AGUAAUGUCUGGGAGACUGCCUGAUGGAGGGGGAUAACUGCUGGAAACGGUAGCUAAUACCGCAUAACGUCGCAAGACCAAAGAGGGGGACCUUCGGGCCUCUUGCCAUCGGAUGUGCCCAGAUGGGAUUAGCUAGUAGGUGGGGUAACGGCUCACCUAGGCGACGAUCCCUAGCUGGUCUGAGAGGAUGCCAGCCACACUGGAACUGAGACACGGUCCAG
rnacentral:rRNA from 1 species